AGCGUCAAACCUGUCACAAUUUCGAUAAUAAACAUUAUAAAAUGCGAUAACGUUAUAUUAUACAAAUUAUGAAUAUAUAUAAAAAUAGCUAAUCUCUGGAACGGCUGGACCGAUUUUGACGGGACUUUCACUGAUAGGUAGCUGAUGAUAUGAGGAGUAACUUGGGCUACUGUUUUUAGACUAGCUUCACCCCGCGGCGUCACCCGCGUUGCGACAAUAACCGCGGGUAGCAUCGCCGGACUCAGCUAGUCUUCAAUAAAUAAACACCUCCAAUGAAACUUAGAAAUGACCGCCUCUAAAUUGUACCACAAAAACACGAAACGUAAUUAUUAUUGUUACAGUUUUUGUCACGACAAGUUGAACCUCUUACACUAUUGCUUCGAACAUGCGGCAGGACCAUAAAAACGUCUGGCUACAUAAAAUAUUACAAUAAAAACGUCAUUUACUUCCUUGUAAUAUAA